rnacentral:rRNA from 1 species
CACACCGUAAACGUUGUAUACUAGGUGUUAGCAGUUUAUCUGCUAGUGCCGUAGCUAACGCAUUAAGUAUACCACCUGGGGAGUACGCCCGCAAGGGUGAAACUCAAAGAAAUUGACGGGGGCCCGCACAAGCGGUGGAGCAUGUGGUUUAAUUCGAUGAUACGCGAAAAACCUUACCUGGGCUUGGACUGUGCAUGACAGGUGUAGAGAUACACCCUCCUUCGGGCAUGCAUAGAGGUGCUGCAUGGUUGUCGUCAGCUCGUGUCGUGAGAUGUUGGGUUAAGUCCCGCAACGAGCGCAACCCUUACCCUUUGUUGCUAACAGGUAAUGCUGAGCACUCUAAGGGAACUGCCGGUGAUAAACCG